rnacentral:rRNA from 1 species
GACAGAGGAGCCAAGCGUUGUCCGGAUUGACUGGGCGUAAAGCGCACGUAGGCGGCUUUGUAAGUUAGAGGUGAAAGCCCGGGGCUCAACCCCGGAAUUGCCUUUAAGACUGCAUCGCUUGAAUCCGGGAGAGGUGAGUGGAAUUCCGAGUGUAGAGGUGAAAUUCGUAGAUAUUCGGAAGAACACCAGUGGCGAAGGCGGCUCACUGGACCGGUAUUGACGCUGAGGUGCGAAAGCGUGGGGAGCAAACAGG